UAGUGUUUGAACCCGUCUUGAGCAAGCGAGAAGAUUUAAUUAAUACGCUUAAAGCUUCUUAUAUGUUUGGCUAUUGUAGUAUCGUGUCAAACCUCCUGUUAUUAUGCUAGUGUAUCACUGUACAAUAUUUAGCAUCAUAGCAUGGCGUUAUUGUUGCUCAAACAGCAGAGUAGUGCGCUAGCAGCACUAAGCUCAUGUGUUCAGUUUCAUCAUAAUGAAAUGUAUACCUUUAAAGUAAUGUAAUUCGCUUUGUGUUUACUAGAUAGAAUAUUUGGAAGUGGUUUUGUAUUUCUAUUAACCCAGACUCUUAAUCACUCUUAUAACAAUCGUCUCUUUCAGAGUCAAAAAACUGUCAACUCAAAAUAACUCGUUAAAUUUUAAUUUAUUUCUAGACUCUUUAUUUCUGUGCUAGAAAUAGAUCAACUUCAUUAUGGAGUUGCAUGCCACCAUAAAAGCUUCAGAAGGAUUUAGGGUUAUUAGAUGUAAUACAUUGUAGGGUGAUGCUAUAAAUGUAAUUAAAAAACAUUUAUUUGACAAUUUGCUGCACAUAGUUUAAAACUAAUAAGUACAGAUCUUGUUCAAUGUCUCGGGAUGGGGAGUUUGGUUCAAUGGCUGUCCUAAACUGUGCCUGUGACCACAGAAUCCACUCAGUCUCUAUAAGCACAACCCCAGAACUCUGCUCCUCUAGUAAGAAAGCAAUUUCAUCCACACUUGCACAAACAAGUGGGACAUUUAAAAACCAUUUUAGACAUAUUACAACUGAUUCAUUGGAUAAUGAAGGCAUCUAACUAACGUAUACAUUGAUAUUGAUUACAUUUGUGCAGUACAGUUUUUUUGUUACACUAAUCGCCCAUCUUCUCACUUGCUCCACACGGGUUCAAACACUAACUGGCGCAUGUCAGUGACAUCACUUUACUAAUUGGCUAGAGAAGGGCAGUAGGUUGAGAAGCAGUGGACCAAUGGACACUUUUAUCUCACCCCCUAAUCUGCAUAAAACUCUACUUGUGAUUUUUGAAUAACAAACUAGCAUCCUGGAAAGAAUUCAGAAAAGUGAGGGGUGAAUAAACAGAAAAUUAAAUAAUUAAACAAAAAGUAGCAGAAAGAACAAACAUCCAAGUAAACUCAUUGAGGAAGGCAGAGAUAACCAGGUGGUGAUUGCUUCGCUCCCACUUUGGAAUGUCCACCCCUUAUAAAUGAAAUGUCACCUCAUAAAUCUCAGGAAAUCCUGAUCUUCUGGACUGACAUGAAAGUGGUGGAACAUUUUCUCUACAUCGCAGAUAAUAGCAAUCUGAUGCUCAAGAAAUCUACAUAGCACUCCAGUCAGAGCAUUCAUUAAAUCUGGCCCUGUGAGUAGGUGGUCAUUUAGUGAUGUGCCUUUGAAUUUGCCUGAGCAGUGAAAUACCACUUUUAUUUUCUCUGGCUUCCUGGGAUGAUACACCCCAUGGUGUGGAAUAUACCAAACAUUGCCUUUGUUUGGUGCACCAUUCUGCGGGUAAAUUCUGCAUUACCAUCUCUAAAGACACUGUCCAUAAAUUUCACAUAGUCCCCUCUGUAUUUGAGACUUUUCACCAAUUUUCUUUUCAGAUGUUUCAAACGUAGCUGAGGAUGUCUCUGAAAAGUAGGGGCAUCUCCACAUGUCCUCCUUUGUUUUGUUGAAUUUUUCCCUUCAACUGGUGAAGAAAUUGAAUAUCCUCCUGAGAUAUUAUCCUUUCUCUUGGGUUCGUAUCUCUAAAAUCUGCUUCUAAUGUCUUAAUUACAGAGGCAGGUGUGAUACAAACACACACACAUACAUAUAACGGAAUACAAUUUUGAUUUUUUUUUUUUUUAAAUAAAUGAUAAUAUGACUACUCAACUUGAUAAUUCAACUAAAUUAUUUUAUUUUGUUAUUUAAAUAUAUAAUUAUUGUUAACCUGUUAAAGUAGCAUUCUUCUCUGGCUAACUUUAAGGCCCCCUAUUGACCGGCCACCACUGCCCUCACACACAUAUAAGUGUGUCUCCACUUAUAUAGCUUUUCAGAUAGAACCUAUGUGCUGGGUUUAUACAGCUUGUUUCAAUCAAAUCUUUCUGAUCACCUCAACUCUUGUAGUAAAGCUGACUCUAACUAUACUACCAGUCAAAAGGUUGGACAUAUCUUAUUAUUCAAUGUUUUUUCUUUAUUUUUAUUGAUUUCAACAUUGAAUAUAUAUAAUAAAAACACUGAAAUUAUGACAGAACAAUUAUGUAGUCAAUAAAAACAUGUUAAAUUACCUAUAAUAUGUUUUAUAUUUUCGAUUCUUCAAAGUAGCCACCUUUUACUUUGAUGACAGCUUUGCACACUCUUUGCAUUCUCUGAGUCAGCCCAUGAGGUAUGGAAUGGUUUUCUACUUUUCUUGAAGGAGUUCCCAGAGGUGUUGAGUACUUGUUGGCAGCUUUUUCUUCAUUCUCUGGUCAAACUCAUUCCAAACUAUCUCAACUGUAUUUAAAUUUAGUGAUCGGAAGGCAGUGGCAUCUGAUGCAGUAUUCCAUCACUCUCCUUCUUGAACAAAUAGCUCCUACAUAAUCUAGAGCUGUGUUUGGGGUUAUUGUCCUGUUGGAAAACAAAUGAUGGACCCACUAAGUGCAAACCAGAUGGGAUGGCAUGUCACUGCAAAAUGCAGUGGUAGCCAUGCUGGUUAAGUGUGCCCUCAAUUUUGACUAAGUCACAGCAGUGUCACCAGCAAAGCACCCCCACAUCAUCACACCUCCUCAUCCACGCAGUGAUCCAAUUUCCAUUUCUUGUGUUUCUUGGCCUGAACAAGACUCUUCUGCUUGUUGUUUUUCUGAAUUAAUUGUUGUUGGGUUUUUUUUUUUUGCUGCAUUUCAACCAUGAAGGUCUCCUUUGAACAGUGGAUGUUGAAUAUGUCUGACUCUUGAACUCCAAGAGGCGUUUAUGUGGGCUGUAAUCUGAGGUGCUGUAAAUUGGCAGUUCCGAGGCUGGAAAAGUUUAAUAAAAUUAUCAUCUGCAGCAGCUCUUGGCCUUAUUUUCCUGGGACAGCCCUUGUGAGAGGCAGUUUCAUCAUAGUGUUUGAUGGUUUUGGUGACUGCACAUGGGGAUACAAAGUUCUUAAGAUAUUUUAGAUUAACGAACCGCCAUUUCUUAAUGUAAUAAUGGACUGUCUUUUGUCCGUCUUAACUGAAUGUUUCUUGCCAUCAAUAUGGAUUUUACAGCAGUUGUAGCAGCAUUAACAAUGCUGUACCCACACGUACACUGCACAAGACACCUGAUGGUAUAAAGAACAUUAAGAAGCCAAGAAAUGUCACAAAUUAACUCUAGACAAAUGUGAACUGAAAACUGAAAACCAUCAGCUUGGGAAGAUGUUUUCUCUGACAAGCAUAUGUGCCGCUGAACGAUGUAUAGUUUUCAUUGAGUUUUGUCACAUUAAAAUGCAAAGUAUCUAUCUAAAGUAUCAAAGUAUCUA